UACGUAGGGUGCAAGCGUUAUCCGGAAUUAUUGGGCGUAAAGGGCUCGUAGGCGGUUUGUCGCGUCGGGAGUGAAAUCCACUGGCUUAACUGGUGGCUUGCUUUCGAUACGGGCAGACUGGAGGUAUGCAGGGGAGAACGGAAUUCCUGGUGUAGCGGUGAAAUGCCGCAGAUAUCAGGAGGAACACCGGUGGCGAAGGCGGUUCUCUGGGCAUGGUCCUGACGCUGAGGAGCGAAAGUGUGGGGAGCGAACAGG
rnacentral:rRNA from 1 species